UCCAUUUCAACGGUGCGGAAUCGACGACGCUCUCGCAGGCGAAAAAUAACCGACCAAUGUACGGGCAACGGGCAAAAAAAAAGGCCAAUGCUCACGAAGAAGACCGACCGUAAAGCGCGUUUACAAUUUUCUACGCUGGGAGAAUAGCCAAAGCUGAGAUUGGACAUGCAACAAUGACAAAGAUGGAAGGAAGGAAGAGGAAAAUUGACGAAACGGAGAUGAGGAGGAGAAAAUUUUCGAGUCAAUAUAUACGUCACGUCGUAGAUUUCUUCUUUUGCGGCCCCCGCUGCACCGCAGGAGUGAAGAGGAAGAAGAAGAAUUCGGAGAUCAUCUGAAUUGAGAAGGAAGAAGAAAAUUGAAGAAAAAGGAAAAAGAAAUGACGAAAUAUCUAAGAGGAAGAGGAACCGGAAGAGCUUGCGGCGGUAUGAAAAAAAAAUAAAGAUUGUAAAAAAAAAAAGGGAAAAAAGUAAGGAGAUGCGAUUCGGACGAAAUAUCCAAGAGGUAAGAGUAAGCGGAAGAGCUUGAGGUGGUUGAAAAAAAAAAAAAUUAAGGACUUUUAUCUCAAUUCUCUCGUACGGUGUGGAAAAAUUUCACGGGAGGCCGCUGCACCCCGUCGUCCAAGGGGCAUAUUUUCUCACAUCUCUUUUGUUUUUGCUCUUCCGAAGGUAUUCGAGAGCAAAGGAUUGACGACCUUCGUUCACUGAUUUUAUUGAUAUAUACGGUGUGUAAUCGAAGCAAAAUCCCAACAACAAUUACGAUCGUUGUAAGGUUACGUUGCAGCGGUACGUACAGGUACGUCGCAUCGGUAAUCGCCCGCAGGACCAAAAAAGAAGAGGGAUUACGGGCGGGAGGAGGGGGGAAAAAACCGAGAGGAGGAUAAUACCCGCGUGUACAGUGAGGAACGUGAGAGAUACACGGGUGUAACGUGGUUGUGGGAGGAACGAUGGAAGGAAAGAACCAACGGGGCCGACGACAGCCGUCGUGACGUCGAAGGUCGAAAUCGAGGAAUAAUAAUUGUCUCCUCUCUCGGAUCGGAUCAGAUAAACGAAACGCACAAAUAUAAAUCAAUCAGCGGCGGCCUCUCCUAUAGGACGUGCUACACGCCGUGUAGGUAGGUGUCCGGACGUCGGAAUUCGCCGGGCCGUUUUCAAAUGGGAUUCGUCGGGGUGGCGCACGUUGCACCUGGUCAUUCGAAUUCAGAGGACGUUGGUAACUACGAGAGGCUCUCGGAAACGAAAAUCGAGAGUCAAUAAUUAUCGACACCUGGAG
rnacentral:lncRNA from 1 species